rnacentral:rRNA from 1 species
GAUGAACGCUGGCGGCGCGCCUAAUACAUGCAAGUCGAGCGACGAAACAGUUCUUCGUAAGAAGAGCUGCUGAAAGCGGCGAACGGGUGAGUAACACGUGGGCAACGUGCCCCUGACUUCGGGAUAACAACGGGAAACCGUUGCUAAUACCGUAUAAACCUGCAGCACCGCAUGGUGCAACAGGCAAAGUUUUUCGGUCAGGGAUCGGCCCGCGGCCUAUCAGUC